AUGGCAUCAGAUGCUCCCGAUCGGAUCAACCCCUUUGCUCCGAUCCCCGAUCCCUCUUCCGCUGCCCCCGACGGCACCGCCGCCGCCCCUGGCGACGCGCCCAUGCCUGGCGAUGCGCCCACUAACGCCUCUGCGUCCGCCGUCGCCCCACCACCUGCCCUUACCACCCUGCCUGUGGCUCUUCCCGUCCCUCCUCAGGCGGUUGUACCCACUGCUGCUCCCCUCCCUGGCUCCGUGCUCCAGACGAUCGACAUCCUCCGGCAUGUGCCGGUCACCCUGGACCUCCUCGCCGGCAACUACGCGCAGUGGCGUCGCCACUUCGACAUGGCGAUCGGCAUGUUUGGUCUCCGUGACCAUGUUGACGCCGCGGCUCUCCCACGCUUCGAUGACCCCGAAUGGGCCAUGGCGGACCACGCCGUCGUCCACUGGCUCAACACCACCGUCUCCCCCGAGCUUCUAGACGCGGUGAUGCAGAACGAGGACACUGCACUCACGGUGUGGACGGCGAUCAAUGCCAUCUUCCGGGACAACCAGCUUGCCCGGGCCGUCUACGUCGACGCCGAGUACCACGCCGUCGUCCAGGGCGAUAUGACGAUCAUGCAGUACUGCACCAAGCUCAAGACCUACGUCGACCAGCUGUGUGACCUGGGGCAGCCCGUGUCCGAGCCGCAGCAGGUAUUCCAUCUCCUCCGCGGGCUCGGGCGGCAGUUCCAUGGCGCCAUCCCCCACAUCACCUCGCGCUCGCCGCUCCCCACCUUCCUCCAACCGCGCUCCUUUCUUCUUCUCGAGGAACACCGUGGUGAUCAGGCCGCGUGCAUCCAGGGCGAGCACGCGCUCGUCGCCGGGCGUGGGCACACCGCCCCCCCUCCGGUCGCUCCCGCAUCCGCCGCACCUGACGGUUCUGCCGCGCGUGGCCGUGGCCGCGGACGCCGCCGUGGCCGUGGCAACGGCAACCCUGGUGGCCAGCCUGCCGCCCCCCUCGCCGCCACGUCUUCCUGGGCUCCCUGCUCCGGCGCCUAG
rnacentral:rRNA from 1 species